GUGAACCACACUGUUGGUAAUGUGUGCUCAUGCAUUGAUGCAGUCAAAGUAGGCAAAGCCGCUUUGAUGAUUCGGGAAUGGGAUGGGGAUUGAAAUUUAGUAGCGAAGUAGCUGAUUUCACACUGACAAGAAAAGUCUCGAUGGAAGUUAAAGAUACCCGUACCGAAAAGCGACACAGGUGGGUUAGGAGAGUAUCCUAAGGCCAGCGAGAGAACUAUUGUUAAGGAACUCGGCAAAAUGACCCCGAAACGUAGGGAUAAGCUGUGCCACCUUCUGGUGGCCGCCAAGAAUAAGCCCAAGCGACUGUCUACAAAAAACAUAGGCUUCUGCUAAUCCGCAAGGCGAUCUAUAGAAGCUGUCGCAUGCUCGGUGCUGGACCGUAAAGGGGAACUGUUAGAGCCAUAGCAGCAGUUAACUUUACCCCCAUUAAACGGAGGGCGUCACUACAUCCGGCAAACGGCAGAGCAAUUCCUGUUAGGGAAA
rnacentral:rRNA from 1 species